CAGUUGAAGGAGGAUGCAACCCAAUCAAAACAACAAUGCCAACCAAACAGAGCUUCCAGGGCCUAAACCAGUUCCGAAAGACUAUACAUGGAAUAAUUCAGGACUCCAACCGCAUAUAUAGCAGAGAAUAGACUUGUUGGGGCACCAGGGGAAGGGGAAGCCCCUGGUCUUGCCAAGGAACCAAGAAGAUAUCAAUGCCAGUUCUAGCUAUAAUGUUUAGGUCCUGAGAUGGAGAAGGGGAGUUAACAAAAGUGAAGACACUGACCACCUUUUGAUUUUCAGGAGACUGGAGAGAUGACGGAGAAGUAAAGAACAUGUACUACUUAUGAAGAAGACCCAUGUCAGAUUCAAAGAACAAGAUGACUCAUAAUCACUGGUAAUUUCAGUUUCAGGGACCUAAUACUCUUCCUUUUCUAGUCUCUGCAGGCAACCCUAGACAUGCAAAUACUCACACAUAAUUUAAUAAAGAC
ensembl:lncRNA